rnacentral:rRNA from 1 species
UACGGGGGGGCAAGCGUUGUUCGGAAUUACUGGGCGUAAAGGGCUCGUAGGCGGCCAACUAAGUCGGACGUGAAAUCCCUCGGCUUAACCGGGGAACUGCGUCCGAUACUGGAUGGCUUGAGAUUGGGAGAGGGAUGCGGAAUUCCAGGUGUAGCGGUGAAAUGCGUAGAUAUCUGGAGGAACACCGGUGGCGAAGGCGACAUCCUGGACCGGUAUUGACGCUGAGGCGCGAAAGCCAGGGGAGCAAACGGG